GGACGAUGAUGAUCUCAAUCAAUAGGUCUCGUUCGUCUUAAUGGCUUGAUCGCCUUGAAGACCAACCUGAUAUAUCACCACCCAUAUUCCGAGUCC